rnacentral:rRNA from 1 species
GGGUUGUGAGGUUAAGCGACUAAGCGUACACGGUGGAUGCCCUGGCAGUCAGAGGCGAUGAAGGACGUGCUAAUCUGCGAUAAGCGUCGGUAAGGUGAUAUGAACCGUUAUAACCGGCGAUUUCCGAAUGGGGAAACCCAGUGUGUUUCGACACACUAUCAUUAACUGAAUCCAUAGGUUAAUGAGGCGAACCGGGGGAACUGAAACAUCUAAGUACCCCGAGGAAAAGAAAUCAACCGAGAUUCCCCCAGUAGCGGCGAGCGAACGGGGAGCAGCCCAGAGCCUGAAUCAGUAUGUGUGUUAGUGGAAGCGUCUGGAAAGGCGCGCGAUACAGGGUGACAGCCCCGUACACAAAAAUGCACAUGCUGUGAGCUCGAUGAGUAGGGCGGGACACGUGGUAUCCUGUCUGAAUAUGGGGGGACCAUCCUCCAAGGCUAAAUACUCCUGACUGACCGAUAGUGAACCAGUACCGUGAGGGAAAGGCGAAAAGAACCCCGGCGAGGGGAGUGAAAAAGAACCUGAAACCGUGUACGUACAAGCAGUGGGAGCACGCUUAGGCGUGUGACUGCGUACCUUUUGUAUAAUGGGUCAGCGACUUAUAUUCUGUAGCAAGGUUAACCGAAUAGGGGAGCCGAAGGGAAACCGAGUCUUAACUGGGCGUUAAGUUGCAGGGUAUAGACCCGAAACCCGGUGAUCUAGCCAUGGGCAGGUUGAAGGUUGGGUAACACUAACUGGAGGACCGAACCGACUAAUGUUGAAAAAUUAGCGGAUGACUUGUGGCUGGGGGUGAAAGGCCAAUCAAACCGGGAGAUAGCUGGUUCUCCCCGAAAGCUAUUUAGGUAGCGCCUCGUGAAUUCAUCUCCGGGGGUAGAGCACUGUUUCGGCAAGGGGGUCAUCCCGACUUACCAACCCGAUGCAAACUGCGAAUACCGGAGAAUGUUAUCACGGGAGACACACGGCGGGUGCUAACGUCCGUCGUGAAGAGGGAAACAACCCAGACCGCCAGCUAAGGUCCCAAAGUCAUGGUUAAGUGGGAAACGAUGUGGGAAGGCCCAGACAGCCAGGAUGUUGGCUUAGAAGCAGCCAUCAUUUAAAGAAAGCGUAAUAGCUCACUGGUCGAGUCGGCCUGCGCGGAAGAUGUAACGGGGCUAAACCAUGCACCGAAGCUGCGGCAGCGACACUAUGUGUUGUUGGGUAGGGGAGCGUUCUGUAAGCCUGUGAAGGUGUACUGUGAGGUAUGCUGGAGGUAUCAGAAGUGCGAAUGCUGACAUAAGUAACGAUAAAGCGGGUGAAAAGCCCGCUCGCCGGAAGACCAAGGGUUCCUGUCCAACGUUAAUCGGGGCAGGGUGAGUCGACCCCUAAGGCGAGGCCGAAAGGCGUAGUCGAUGGGAAACAGGUUAAUAUUCCUGUACUUGGUGUUACUGCGAAGGGGGACGGAGAAGGCUAUGUUGGCCGGGCGACGGUUGUCCCGGUUUAAGCGUGUAGGCUGGUUUUCCAGGCAAAUCCGGAAAAUCAAGGCUGAGGCGUGAUGACGAGGCACUACGGUGCUGAAGCAACAAAUGCCCUGCUUCCAGGAAAAGCCUCUAAGCAUCAGGUAACAUCAAAUCGUACCCCAAACCGACACAGGUGGUCAGGUAGAGAAUACCAAGGCGCUUGAGAGAACUCGGGUGAAGGAACUAGGCAAAAUGGUGCCGUAACUUCGGGAGAAGGCACGCUGAUAUGUAGGUGAAGUCCCUCGCGGAUGGAGCUGAAAUCAGUCGAAGAUACCAGCUGGCUGCAACUGUUUAUUAAAAACACAGCACUGUGCAAACACGAAAGUGGACGUAUACGGUGUGACGCCUGCCCGGUGCCGGAAGGUUAAUUGAUGGGGUCAGCGCAAGCGAAGCUCUUGAUCGAAGCCCCGGUAAACGGCGGCCGUAACUAUAACGGUCCUAAGGUAGCGAAAUUCCUUGUCGGGUAAGUUCCGACCUGCACGAAUGGCGUAAUGAUGGCCAGGCUGUCUCCACCCGAGACUCAGUGAAAUUGAACUCGCUGUGAAGAUGCAGUGUACCCGCGGCAAGACGGAAAGACCCCGUGAACCUUUACUAUAGCUUGACACUGAACAUUGAGCCUUGAUGUGUAGGAUAGGUGGGAGGCUUUGAAGUGUGGACGCCAGUCUGCAUGGAGCCGACCUUGAAAUACCACCCUUUAAUGUUUGAUGUUCUAACGUUGACCCGUGAUCCGGGUUGCGGACAGUGUCUGGUGGGUAGUUUGACUGGGGCGGUCUCCUCCUAAAGAGUAACGGAGGAGCACGAAGGUUGGCUAAUCCUGGUCGGACAUCAGGAGGUUAGUGCAAUGGCAUAAGCCAGCUUGACUGCGAGCGUGACGGCGCGAGCAGGUGCGAAAGCAGGUCAUAGUGAUCCGGUGGUUCUGAAUGGAAGGGCCAUCGCUCAACGGAUAAAAGGUACUCCGGGGAUAACAGGCUGAUACCGCCCAAGAGUUCAUAUCGACGGCGGUGUUUGGCACCUCGAUGUCGGCUCAUCACAUCCUGGGGCUGAAGUAGGUCCCAAGGGUAUGGCUGUUCGCCAUUUAAAGUGGUACGCGAGCUGGGUUUAGAACGUCGUGAGACAGUUCGGUCCCUAUCUGCCGUGGGCGCUGGAGAACUGAGGGGGGCUGCUCCUAGUACGAGAGGACCGGAGUGGACGCAUCACUGGUGUUCGGGUUGUCAUGCCAAUGGCACUGCCCGGUAGCUAAAUGCGGAAGAGAUAAGUGCUGAAAGCAUCUAAGCACGAAACUUGCCCCGAGAUGAGUUCUCCCUGACCCUUUAAGGGUCCUGAAGGAACGUUGAAGACGACGACGUUGAUAGGCCGGGUGUGUAAGCGCAGCGAUGCGUUGAGCUAACCGGUACUAAUGAACCGUGAGGCUUAACCUUACAACGCCGAAG